rnacentral:rRNA from 1 species
GAACCUGCGGAAGGAUCAUUGUUGA